ACAUCUUAGAGUUGUCAAAGUUGAGAAACACUGCACUAGACACAUGCACUCAUCUCAGGGUUCCCAUGGUAACAUCCCAACCCCAAUGCCUAGGGGAGAGCCAGGGGAGAGCCAGGUCUUCACGGCCUUGCAAAAGGCCAGUAGAGUAGGGGUUGUCUGUAUUUUAAGGGGGAGGCUGUUCCAUAGGGCAGGCACCAUAGUAGAGAAGGCACACUUCAGGGGAUCUGCCAGAUGACAUUGAAUUAUUGAUGCAGCUAGAGCACACCCACUCGACCAGAUCUGGUGGAGCAGGCAAAAAACACUGGGGAUAGGUGGUCCUGCAAGUAACCUGGUCCCAUGCCAUGUAGGGCUUUGGAGGUGACAACUGGCACCUUGGAUAGAACCCAGAAACCUACUAGGAGCCAGUGCAGCUUGUGUAGCAGCAGUGUUAUAUGGGAGUACUGCAGUGUGCCCAAAACUGCAUGUGCUGCUGCUUACUGGACUAGCUGGUCCAGAAUGCUCUUCAAGGGCAGACCCAAGUGGAAUGUGUGCAGUAGUCCAAUCAGAAGGUAAGUAAGGUGUGAGUCAUAAGCAGUGCCUCCCAAUCCAGAAAUGGGCACAACUGGCGCACAGGAUGCUCUCCUGGCCACAGCUGCCACCUGCUCCUUGAGCAUGAGCUGUGAGUCUAAGAGAAUGUCCAGAUUGCACACUGACUCUGAGUGGGGGAGCAUAACCCAAUUCAGGGUUAACCAUGGACAAUUACUAAAUAUGGAGGCCACUAAGACCCACAGCCAGUCAGUCUUGUCAAGGUUGAGCAGAAGUUGGUUCUUCCCCUUCCUAACCCGCACAGCCUUGAAGCACUGGGAAAGCAUCUUGGCAGCAUCACUUGGAUGGCCUGGGGCCAAAAUGUACAACUGAAUAUCAUCAGCAUACUGAUGAUAGUUAACCCCAUGCCAACAGAUGAGCUCACCUAGCAGCUUCAUGUAGAUGUCAGAUAGGAGCAGGGAGAAUGUUGAGCCCUGGAGCACCCCACAAAGCAGGGGCCUAGGACUGUACCUCUCCCCCUCUACCGACUAGAACUGACCCCGGAAGAAAGAGGAGAACCAUUGAAGAAGAGUACCUCCACUCCCAAUCCCCUCAACCGGUUCAGAAGGAUACCAUGAUGGAUGAUAUCAAAAGCCAGAGAGAUCAAGGAGGACCAGGAAGGAUACACUACCCCCAUCCCGAGCCCACCAGAGGUCAUCCACAAGUGCAAUCAAUGCUGUCUCAGUGCUAUACCCAAUCUGAAUCCCCUCUGCCACAGGUCCAGAUAAUCUGCUUCCACCUUUGGAGUUACAAGCUGAAAAGGGAGUUUGGAGAGUGGAUGAAAGUUGCCCAGUACAGAUGGGUCCAGCGAUGGCCUCUGAGGAGAAGGCGAACCACCGCUUCCUUCAAGCCAGGCAGAACCACCCCCCUGCAAAGAGACAUGCACCACCACUUGAACCCAACCAAGACCAGCCAGGAGGGGCAUAGAUCUAAUUCUGCACAGGUGGCAGAAUUCAACAUCCCAAGGACCCUCAGGAGUAACCAGAUCAAACUCUGCCCAGAUAACUGGACAAGACUGGAUCUCAGUCACCUCUACAGGACCAGCAUGGCUGAAAUCCGACUCCAAGCUAAUCCAAGUGACUAUCCAUCAGUAUGCCUGGCUAUCCCCAGGGCGACCCUGCAAGGGAUUUCCUGACCCCUCCUUACCCAGAAGGAACCAAGUAAUCUGAAACAGGGUUGCCAGGCAGAUAUUUGCUGAUGCAGUAAGGGUGGAGAAAUACUCAUGUGUUGCUGCCGUUAUCACUACAAGGUAGUCCUUAGUACAAGCUCUUACCUACGGUUACCUGUAAAUGUGUUUUAAGAUCUGGGUGAUGCUGUGGAGGCAGUUUUAUUAUGUUUGGUGGUGAUAUGGAGCUCUUUGCUUGUGCACGUUUCCUGUGAGAGUUACGGCGAGCAACUGUUUAGAAGCAAAUGGGCUGAGAAUCUUUCAUAACAUUAAAGAUUGAUUGCACUGUAGCAUUAUAUACACCAGCUUUGUGGAAUGCAUUGUCGGUGCCUAGAAUCUGCACUUAGCACUUAGAAUCUUUUUCUUAUCGUGAAAGAUUCUAUAGCCCAAAAUCAUCAUCAUUAUUCAUCUCAUUAUUGUUGUUACUUUGCAGCAACCCCCUAACUGAACACAAGGGGGAAAAAAGUGAAAUGUUAUGAUGUUAUUUAGCUAGCGUGAGUAGAAUAUAUGAUUGAUAUUAACCUAGCUUAAAGAGAGAAAUGUAUCACUUCAGGCCUUACACAAGAAAGCUAUUUUCUUGAGGGAGAAUAGCUCAUUGAUGUGGCCAACAACUGCGGAAUUUGUUCUUAGCCGUUUGCCAACAAGCAAGCUAAUGAAUGAAGGAAUUGAGAAUAAAUGACUAGCAUUACCCAAGUUGUGUCAGUGUCUAAUAUCAACAUAUUUGAGUAGCUUUCAGGUUUUAUCCCAUGCAUCUCAUUGCAUCUUAUGCUUUGCAUUUAACAAAACUCCUGUCUUUACUAACACACUUCCUUUAAUUUUACUUACAUGUCACCCCUGUAUCUUAAAACUAUAGUAUUACUACCUAAAUUAUGCUGAGGGUUUAUAAAUAAUUCCAUUGUGCAAAACUACAAAAACUUGCUUGAAAUUCUGCUGGACUUCCUACAUGUGACCUUUAAAUGUAUUUUCUUCUAGGAGCAGAACAGAAUCUUUCUGCUAACCAAUAAGGAGCACAUCCCCUUACUGUAUAAGGGUCUAGCAGUAAAACAUAACAAUUAUUUUUUAUACAUAUUAUUUUGUAUAAAUACAGUAUUUCUUCAUCUUCUGAAGCAUCAAGAACUUGAGUUGUGAAACUUUCCAUCAAAGAAUGUAAUUACCAUUCUGACCUUGUUUGAGAACUCUUGGAAAUACUAUACAGCUAUUUAAAAUAAUUACAGAUCAUUGUGUCCAUGAAAUCCAUUAAGUAAGAUAUUAAAUAUCAAAUCCAUUGUAUUUUGCAUUUAAUGAAUUACUUUCUUCUGUCACAUACAGAAUAUCCAAGGAUGUUGGUCUUUUCCAUUCUUUUGUGCAGCUGUGCAAGAUUUGAGUCUGUGAGAAAAAUCUCAACAGUUGCUAACAACAUUUUCAGGUGAUUCAUCAUAAUAUUUUAUCAAGGCUUUCCUGUUCUACAAAAAUAUCUCCACCUGCUUGAAUACUCAGAUGAGGUCAAUCAGAAGUCUUCAAUGUGUUUUCAAGGUGAUGUUCCGUGUGGAUAAUGGACUAGUUCAAGAAAUUUCAUUGGACGUAAAUGUACAAGAAAUUACCCAACUGUAAAUUAUACAAUUUAAAAUUAAAUAAAUAACAA